rnacentral:rRNA from 1 species
AUUGAACGCUGGCGGCAUGCUUUACACAUGCAAGUCGAACGGUAACAGGCCGCAAGGUGCUGACGAGUGGCGAACGGGUGAGUAAUGCAUCGGAACGUGCCCAGUCGUGGGGGAUAACGCAGCGAAAGCUGCGCUAAUACCGCAUACGAUCUAUGGAUGAAAGCGGGGGACCGUAAGGGCUCGCGCGAUUGGAGCGGCCGAUGUCAGAUUAGGUAGUUGGUGGGGUAAAGGCUCACCAAGCCGACGAUGUGUAGCUGGUCUGAGAGGACGACCAGCCACACUGGGACUGAGACACGGCCCAGACUCCUACGGGAGGCAGCAGUGGGGAAUUUUGGACAAUGGGCGCAAGCCUGAUCCAGCAAUGCCGCGUGCAGGAAGAAGGCCUUCGGGUUGUAAACUGCUUUUGUACGGAACGAAACGGCUCUGGUUAAUACCUGGGGCUAAUGACGGUACCGUAAGAAUAAGCACCGGCUAACUACGUGCCAGCCGCCGCGGUAAGAC